CAUGGAGCAAAGAAUCACUGAGACAAGGAUGAGGCCAAGUGGUAAUGUCACUGUAUCGGCAUCCAGCUGCAUUUUGCCUAAGCUCACGGCUUUGGAACUUCCAUCAUUGCUAAGGCUCCAUAGAGGAAAACUACCCGUCACCACUGCCAUCCGGCUGUAGAGAGAAGAGACUAAAAGACUGGUGCUGUGUGGUUCACCUUGUUGCCAUUACAGAUUAAAUUGUUUACCAUUA